rnacentral:lncRNA from 1 species
AAUUCAUAGUUCUGCAAUAUAUAUCACUUGUUUUAGCUUCAAAUCAUAAUUGAAAAGGUUGAUGUUGUAAACAAAGAAGAUAUUGACUGCACAUCCAAAUAUCAUCUUGUACAAAUUACAACUUGUACUCAACGAAUUUUUUUAAUAAAAGUGUAUUUAUUCUAAAUAUAACAAAAUACUUAUUUGUUUGACUUUGUUAUUUUGAAAUUAAUAUUGAAGUUAUUUUUUAUGAAUCUCAAGUUGGUCAUCGUCCAUAACGGAUACCUACAAAUUAUGUUUAAUCCAUUGUAUUUAGACCACAUCAGAUAUUUGGAUGUGAACAUAGCAAUUUAUUAAUGGUUAAGAAACCACAAAAAUUAAUUUAUUAUUCAUUGUUGAUAUUUAAUUUUUUUUAAAGCGUUAUUGUUAAAAACUAAUAUAUCUUUGAGAAGGAUUUCUUCAUUGCAAAGAAAGUUUACUAAGACUUUCUUUAUAGGAAUAUUCGUCUUCUAAAUGCCAAUUCGUACGAAAUCUGUCAUAUUUUAGAAAUAAUUUUCGGAGUGCCUAUAAACCUAUCAUUUUGAAUAGAUGUCAAUCAAACAUUAAUGAUUACUUGAUGUACGAUUGCUCAAGUAGUUAUAAACGAGCGUUAGUACUCAGAUUUAUUCGACGUCGACGAAGAGACUAACUUUGCUUUACUGCUAUAGAUUUGCUUUAUUAAAAGAACAUUUGCACUGACGUAAUACAUUUCAUCAUAAUAGAAGAAGACGCAUGUUUACUUGGGUCAGAUAUAUGGUUUUAUUUAAUUUGUGCCUAACAUUUUAGCCCCCUACAUUUGGGCAUUGGUAAUGUUUUCUCGAGGAAAUUUUGUCGCAUGACAUCUUCGCCGCCUUUCCAUAUUAUCGAUUCGAACUUUACUCAUGUACUGUUUAUAAUUUAUAAGAAGAAUGAGUAAGGAAUUAUGGAUAUGAGAUGAUUAGUCUAUUUUGAAUGGACUUAUUGACUUGUGGCACUUCAAUGAAUCAUGGUUGAGGAUUGAAGAAAUAGAAGAAGCUCUAUCGAUAGAACGAAAAGAAUAUUUAUUGAUGAAUUAUAGGAUUAAUAGCUCUUGUCCGUUGAUGGUGGGUAGCCUUUUAUUUUCCUACCAUCAUCUACUUUUACUUCAACGAGAUUAAAUAGCUCACGAAGGUGCAUCUCUUUUCUUGGAUUUGUCUUAUUUUGCAUUUUUUAUUUAUGUGUCAUCUAUUUAGAAAGAGUUUAUAGAUCAGCUCUGGAGGAGCCAAUAGUUUGUUUUAUGUCUAAUUUUUUAUUCUCAAGUGAUUAGUUAUAACUAUUAUAAAUUAAAUAUUUUAAUAGGAAGAUUAUAUAUAUUGUUUACAUGAUUAAAAUAAAAAGACCCAUAACCUA